rnacentral:rRNA from 1 species
CCAGUUUAGUCAAUGCUCGCAAGAGUGAACUAGCUAACUGAAAUCAUAGAAUUUUUUAAAAUUCAUGAUGUCGUAAGGGAAAAUAAUGAUAAUACCUUACUAUGAGUGUUGUCCAAAUCUGGUGCCAGAAGACUCGGUAAGACCAGAAACGCAAACGUUAAUCAUCAUAAACAGGCGUAAAGGGUUUGUAGGCAGCUUUUAUCAGAUUAUGCAUUUUAAAAUAAAGUAGUCUAAUUAAAAGCUAGAAUCAAAAAGAGGUUAUAGUGUAUAACGCCUAGAGGAGGGCUGAUAUCCAUAGAUCCUAGGCAGAAUACUAAGGGCGAAGGCCACUUUCCAUUAAUGAUUGACGCUGAGAAACGAAGGUUAGGGUAGGAAAUAGGAUUAGAUACCCCGGUACUCCUUUCUGUAAACGAUGAAUGGUAGUCAUUAGUUUUUUUCUUAGAAAAAAAAAAAUAACUAGAGACGAAGUUAACACAAUAACCAUUCCGCCUUGUGAGUACUACUGCAAAGUAGAAAACAAAAAAAUUAGUCGGUCUCGAAGCAAACGGAGUGAAGCAUGUUAUUUAUGGGA